rnacentral:lncRNA from 1 species
GCCCUCUCGCGGGGCGCGGUGUCCGCAGCAGCCCUGGCGGAGCCGGGCCCGCGCUGUCGCGCCGCUCGCGCUCAAGGCAUUGUGUUGAGCGCUGCGCUGCACGUAAUGCGUUCGCGAGAAUGUAGUGCGCUUUGGAGGAAAAAAAUGCAGAUUUCGAUCGACGUAGUGGAUGGUGUCUGCGGGCAGGCGGAGCGCGGAGACCCGGAGCAGGGAGGUGGAAGAGGCCGAGGAGAGACGGGCUGCCCUGCAGGGUGACCAUCUGCUGACCCACCAGCUGGCUGGGCGCGACCCCGUCACCUCCGGCCCCGAAACGUGCCAUCCACGCAGCCAGAAGCGGAUGAGGGGGUCGGUCCGUGCGGUCUCCUCCACCUUGGGCCCUCCGUGUCGGGGAGUGGGGAAUCUCAGACUCCUCGGGGGAUGCCACCCUUCUGGGACCUCGCUGUCCCUCAAGUUCUGGCCGGGUCUCCUCUUGUAUUUUAGCUUUCAUCUUCCCCUUUUGCGUGUGGAAAAUUUCCACGACCCAAAACAUCAAAGCACGAACAAAGAAGGGCCGAUCAGCAUGACCAUACCAAGUCCCAGUUUUCAGUGGGAUUUAGUAGGGCUGCCUGAGGGGAGGACGGUGAAGACGACAGACUUUCCCAAGAACGUGAUCACAGUGUAG